GACAGAGGUCUCGAGCGUUAGGCGGAAUCACUGGGCUUAAAGCGUGUGUAGGCGGAGUUCUAAAUACCUUGUGAAAUCCCACGGCUUAACCGUGGAACUGCUUGGUAUACUGGUUCUCUUGGGCCACUUAGGGGCUACCGGAACAAACGGUGGAGCGGUGAAAUGCGUAGAUAUCGUUUGGAACGCCAAUGGUGAAAACAGGUAGCUGGGAGUGUGCCGACGCUGAGACACGAAAGCCAGGGGAGCGAACGGG
rnacentral:rRNA from 1 species